UGCUCUUCGGAGCUCUUUGAUGAUUCAUAAUAACUUUUCGAAUCGCAUGACUUCGUGUCGGCGAUGGUUCAUUCAAAUUUCUGCCCUAUCAACUUUCGAUGGUAGGAUAGUGGCCUACCAUGGUUUCAACGGGUAACGGGGAAUAAGGGUUCGAUUCCGGAGAGGGAGCCUGAGAAACGGCUACCACAUCCAAGGAAGGCAGCAGGCGCGCAAAUUACCCAAUCCUAAUUCAGGGAGGUAGUGACAAUAAAUAACGAUACAGGGCCCAUUUGGGUCUUGUAAUUGGAAUGAGUACAAUGUAAAUACCUUAACGAGGAACAAUUGGAGGGCAAGUCUGGUGCCAGCAGCCGCGGUAAUUCCAGCUCCAAUAGCGUAUAUUAAAGUUGUUGCAGUUAAAAAGCUCGUAGUUGAACUUUGGGCUUGGUCAGCCGGUCCGCUUUUUUGCGUGUACUGGUCCUGACCGAGCCUUUCCUUCUGACUAACUUGUCUCUCGGGGCAAGCGAAUCAGGACUUUUACUUUGAAAAAAUUAGAGUGUUCAAAGCAGGCCUUUGCUCGAAUAUAUUAGCAUGGAAUAAUAGAAUAGGACGUUUGGUUCUAUUUUGUUGGUUUCUAGGACCAUCGUAAUGAUUAAUAGGGACGGUCGGGGGCAUCAGUAUUCAAUUGUCAGAGGUGAAAUUCUUGGAUUUAUUGAAGACUAACUACUGCGAAAGCAUUUGCCAAGGACGUUUUCAUUAAUCAAGAACGAAAGUUAGGGGAUCGAAGAUGAUCAGAUACCGUCGUAGUCUUAACCAUAAACUAUGCCGACUAGGGAUCGGGUGGUG
rnacentral:rRNA from 1 species